rnacentral:rRNA from 1 species
ACAGGGGUGAAGUCGUAACAAGGUAACCGUAUGUGUAGCUGCGGUUGAAUCACCGCAUUACCCUAAAGACGC